AUGACCCUGAACUCCCGAUUGAGCUUUCUCCCAAUCACAGCGUCACUACCACCUUGUUGGUCUGUGAUAGAGAGGUAUCACACACAAGACCAGCCCAUCUGCAUCCCCAGCCCCUGCCAUCCGUCACCAGGGCUGGGUGGCCAGCCAACACCUGCCACUAGAUGGCAGUGUAUGUGUAGGUGGGGAAAAGCCAACGCCAUCAUAGGUCACCCCAGGAGCCCUUGCAUUCCCUGGAAACUCUCACUGCUCAGUGACAGAGGCCUUCUGGAACUCCGGCUGCCAGUCUGUGCUUGUGUUAGCCCUAACCCCCACCCAUCCUCUAAGGCGAGGGGAGCCAGUUCCCCGCCUCCACCAGCCUCUAAGGCAGGGAUUUGUGCCCUUGCACUGGGACUGUGCUUGGCCUUGUCCAUAAUUACUCAUUAAAUUCAACUAAAGGUUGCAAUGUGGGGAGAGGUGACAGAUAUAUAGCCAGUACAAUGAAUUAAAUAACAUGGAGAUAAUAUCCCCUGGGGUAUGGCUCCUGCAUCUAGCAGGUCUAGGCCUGGGGAUGAAAGGUAUGGCUAAGACCCACCUGCUCCAGGACUCAUAAAGGAGCUAUAAGACAAACUCCAGCAGGGGCCUUUCAUCACCUAUCAUGAGGAAACUCUGAAUAAUUUUCCUAGGGACCCAUUGAGUCAGAGCUCACACCUAGUUAGGCAAGGAGUGGGUGUAGCCAGGUGACUGUUUUCUUGGUCUCAACACCCAAACAUCCAACUAUUUGUGGACCAGUAAGGGAAGUCCCCUAUAGUCAGUACCCUGACACUCUCUAGGUUCUCUCUUGCACAAGCAGGGACAGGCAGGUUAGUUGCCGAAGCCGGAGGCUCCAAGGAUCCCUUCAGUUCUCACACUGUAAAGGAGUUAGCUGGCUUCUCUCAGGGAGAUACAGAAUUCACUGUCCUGCUGUCCUGGGCCUGGAGAUCCCCACAGCCCCGUUAGAUAUGAGGAAGUUGGGGAGAGAAAGAGGGGCCACAGGGAUGGCUGGGUGGUUAACAUUGCUCUCUGCUCUUGAGGAAGACCAAAGUUGGUUUCCCAGCUGCUAGGAGCCAGAGAGUCUUCUCAGGCUUCCAAUAGCCCUACAUAAACCCACGUGCAAACACAUAGCCUUAAGAAUUUAGAAGUUGGGGGCUGUAGAGAUGGCUCAGAGGUUAAGAGCACUGAUUGCUCUUCCAGAGGUCCUGAGUUCAAUUCCUAGUAACCACAUGGUGGCUCACAACCAUCUAUAAUGGGAUCUGGUGCCCUCUCUGACAGGCAGGCACACAUGCAGAAGAAGACUGUAUACACACUAAAUAAGUACAUACAUUAAAACAAAAAAAGAAAGAAAUUAAAAGUUGCAGGGUGGUGGUGGCUCACGCCUUUAAUCCCAGCACUUGGGAGGCAGAGGCAGGUGAAUCUCUGUGAGUUCGAGACCUGGUUUACAAAGUGAGUUCCAGGACAGCUUUCAAAGCUACACAGAGAAACCCUGUCUCGAAAAACAAAAAAGAAAAGAAAAGGAAUUAAAAGUUGGGUUGGGGGCUGGAGAGAUGGCUCAGCAGUUAAGAGCACUGACUAUUCUUCCAGAGGUCCUGAGUUCAAUUCCCAGCAACCACAUUGGCUCACAACCACCUUGAAUGAGAUCUGGUGCCCUCUGCUGGCAUGCAGGCAGAAGACUGUAUACAUAACAAAUAAAUAAAAUCUUAAAAAAAAAAAAAAAGUUUGG
rnacentral:lncRNA from 1 species